AUGGGGUUGCAAAGAGUCAGCAGAACUGAGUGACUUCUCUUCUCUUUGCCUGCUCCAACAGAUCAGGCACUGGGGCAACGCAGCCAGGGAAGCCAGAGUUGGGGGGGCGCGGAGAUGGUUGUUGGGUGGGGUGGCUGUGCUAAGAUUUGAGUGCUGGAGCCCCCAGCCUCCCCCGCCAAGCCCUUGAGGAUGAGCCCUGAAGAUUCCCCAAAGUGUCAGGGCCAUGUGCUUGAUAAAUGACCCCCUUCUGCAAAGGGGAAGCCACACCCUAGGGUGGGAAUGUGGCUGCUUCUCACCUCCCAAGUGGCAAUCUCACCUCCCACGAGCCCUAUAUACAGUGGAGGGGGGCUUCCGGCCCCCGGUCCCCGGCCCAGCACCCCCAACUUGUGCCACCUCACGCAUGAGAUCCCACAAGAUCAUAGCCUUCUUCUGCUCCAGAGGGUCCCAUGGCUCCCUAUGUGGCUCAGAGUAAAAGUCCAAAUUCAAAAAAUACCAGGCCUUCAAGGCCCACAAGGCCUGGCACAGUCUCUCCCCCUUUCAUCUCCAUUCUUCCUAUUCCAGCCCCACUGUCUCCCCCCCACCCACACCAGUUUCUCACACUCUUUAAGAUCUUGGCACUUGGGGAUCAGCGUGCCUGAACACCCUGCCCCAAGCCCUUCCCAGGCGGUGACUCCCUCAGAGAGGCCUUCCGGUCUGUGUCCCCCUCCUCCCCAAUCUCACACUGCAGUUGGUACCGUCUGAAAUGACCUUCGUUAUUUACUGAUUCAUCUGGUACAUCGUAUAUCUCUGCCCUGGACUCCCAGCUCCAGGAAGGCAGGGGCCCUGUCUUGUCUUUCUGUCUAGUCAUUGAGUAAAGAUUAAGAGCUUGGAGUCUGGAGCCAGGCUCAGUUACUUUGUCAUCUAGGACUUCAGACCAGUGACACCCUCCUCGGAGCCUUGGUGGGCUCUUUUGUAAAAUGGAUAAUGACAGUUUCCACUUGGAGAGAUGCCCCUGAGGAGGAAGGGAUGGAACGGAGCUUCGAGACACAGCAACUGAGACAGUGAUUUCCUCCUGAUGGUGCAGCUGCAAGAAGGCGGUUAUCUGGUCAACCUGGACCCCAGCAUGACUGUGUGGAGCUAAGCCCCUGCAGCUCAAGUAGGAUGAGUAACACGAGGGAAAAGUAAACUUUGGUUGAGUUGAACCACUGAA